AUGCUUGGCAGCAUGUAUACUAAAACAGGAAUGAUACAGAGAAGAUUAGCAUGGCUCCUGUGAAAGGAUGACACGCAAAUUCAUGAAGUAUUCCAUAUUUUU